rnacentral:tRNA from 1 species
UGCCUCGUCGGUCCAGUCUGGAGUGGACGUCGGCUUGUCACGCCGAAGAGCAUGGGUUCAAAUCCCAUACGAGGCGU